rnacentral:rRNA from 1 species
GACGAACGCUGGCGGCGUGCCUAAUACAUGCAAGUCGAGCGAUGAUUAAAGAUAGCUUGCUAUUUUUAUGAAGAGCGGCGAACGGGUGAGUAACGCGUGGGAAAUCUGCCGAGUAGCGGGGGACAACGUUUGGAAACGAACGCUAAUACCGCAUAACAAUGAGAAUCGCAUGAUUCUUAUUUGAAAGAAGCAAUUGCUUCACUACUUGAUGAUCCCGCGUUGUAUUAGCUAGUUGGUAGUGUAAAGGACUACCAAGGCGAUGAUACAUAGACGACCUGAGAGGGUGACCGGCCACACUGGGACUGAGACACGGCCCAGACUCCUACGGGAGGCAGCAGUAGGGAAUCUUCGGCAAUGGGGGCAACCCUGACCGAGCAACGCCGCGUGAGUGAAGAAGGUUUUCGGAUCGUAAAACUCUGUUGUUAGAGAAGAACGUUAAGUAGAGUGGAAAAUUACUUAAGUGACGGUAUCUAACCAGAAAGGGACGGCUAACUACGUGCCAGCAGCCGCAGUAAGAC